rnacentral:antisense_RNA from 1 species
CUCUAUGGUAGCUGUGUGCGGGCAGACUUCGGUCUGGCCGGGUGCCAACUUUCCCGGUAUUCCUACCCCGCACAUGGCUGCCACCCAA